rnacentral:rRNA from 1 species
AUUGAACGCUGGCGGCAGGCCUAACACAUGCAAGUCGAGCGGAUGAGAGGAGCUUGCUUCUCGAUUCAGCGGCGGACGGGUGAGUAAUGCCUAGGAAUCUGCCUGGUAGUGGGGGACAACGUUUCGAAAGGAACGCUAAUACCGCAUACGUCCUACGGGAGAAAGCAGGGGACCUUCGGGCCUUGCGCUAUCAGAUGAGCCUCGGUCGGAUUAGCUAGUUGGUGAGGUAAUGGCUCACCAAGGCGACGAUCCGUAACUGGUCUGAGAGGAUGAUCAGUCACACUGGAACUGAGACACGGUCCAGACUCCUACGGGAGGCAGCAGUGGGGAAUAUUGGACAAUGGGCGAAAGCCUGAUCCAGCCAUGCCGCGUGUGUGAAGAAGGUCUUCGGAUUGUAAAGCACUUUAAGUUGGGAGGAAGGGUUGUAGAUUAAUACUCUGCAAUUUUGACGUUACCGACAGAAUAAGCACCGGCUAACUCUGUGCCAGCAGCCGCGGUAAGAC